AAAAGAGUAAUUAGUAACAUAAUUAAAUAUAUCUAAUUAUAACUAGUAUUAUCUAUUAUAUUAUUUUAUUAAUUUUUCUUUCACCUUUUUUUACCAUAAUUGAUUUCGGCUCAAGUUAUGGGCCAAAAUUAAUUAUGCUUUUUCGGGUAACUCGAGUUUCGACCGUAUUUUUAUUACGGCAAAUCAAAUUUACGGUCGAAAAUAACUUUAACCUUUUCCAUUUUUACCCAAGCAAACAAGCCUAUAGCGGCUUCCCCAGUUGAAUUGCAUGUUGACAAUCUUGGCAUUAAAUUUUAUUAUAAAGCAUUAAUUUAGGAAGUGUUCAAAAUUUACAUAAUAAAUAGUUUUUUUCAAAAAAUAUCAAAUACGUUUAGAGUUGUCAACGGGUCGGAUUCGGGGCGGAUUAUUAAAAAUCCGAAUCCGAACCUGACUCCAAACCCGAGAUCCGAGCCUGAACCCGAACCCGAAAAUUUGAAUCCGAAACAAUUAUUUCUUUUUUCAAUAUUUCAAAAUAUAUUAUAUUAAAUCUUAAUUUUUAAAAUAUAAAUUCAAAUAUAAUAUCAAAUUUUUAUAUAUAUAUUAUAUAUAAUACAAAAUAAAUUCGGGUUCGGAUCGGGUACGGUCAAAAUCCAUAUCCGAAUCCAUAUCUGUCGGGUUUCUAUUUUUGAUAUCCAUAUCCGAAUUCAUAUCCAUUUAGCAUCGAAUAUAUCCGUUUUAUUCGGGCUUGGAUUCGGAUUCGAAUAAAAUUUCGAAUAUUCGUAACUAUUGACGUCCCUAAAUAUG
rnacentral:lncRNA from 1 species